AACGAACGCUGGCGGCAGGCUUAACACAUGCAAGUCGAACGCCCCGCAAGGGGAGUGGCAGACGGGUGAGUAACACGUGGGAACGUGCCCUUCGCUUCGGGAUAGCCUCGGGAAACUGGGAGUAAUACCGAAUACGCCGUAUUGGGAAAGAUAUAUCGGCGAAGGAUCGGCCCGCGUUGGAUUAGCUAGUUGGCGGUGUAAUGGACCACCAAGGCUACGAUCCAUAGCUGGUCUGAGAGGACGACCAGCCACACUGGGACUGAGACACGGCCCAGACUCCUACGGGAGGCAGCAGUGGGGAAUCUUGGACAAUGGGCGCAAGCCUGAUCCAGCCAUGCCGCGUGAGUGAAGAAGGCCUUAGGGUUGUAAAACUCUUUCGCCGGUGAAGAUAAUGACGGUAACCGGAGAAGAAGCCCCGGCUAACUCCGUGCCAGCAGCCGCGGUAAU
rnacentral:rRNA from 1 species